UGACAUUCGAACGCGUCCUUCGGUCACUCCCUCGCCGCCACUCAGAGAGAAUGCCGGUUUCCGCUCCUCUUCCCUCGAAUUGUGUGCUUUUAUGGGCAUAUCGGUUGAUGCCAACGUAACCUUGGUGCCUGAAUUCCUGUAAAAUGGAGCUGGUGUGGCUUCCAUGUCAACAGGACUUUUGUGGAAGGUUUAAGAAAUUGUGCUUCUAUAGGAUAAUGUCCCGAUCUUGCUAUCCAGUUUUGAAGGAUAUUUAUUUUGGCUUUUGGUUGCCAGGCUGAUAUUGGUCAGUGAAUAUGAAUAUGGCUUUGAAGAUGGGACAAAAGGAAAUGUGCAAGCAGGAUUGGCAUAUCUUUAAAAUAAAAGGAAGCUUGUGAGGUUUCAAGGCUACCAACAUGAUCUGCUUGAAAGAUGUCCAGGGCUUGUGGUCAUAUUGAAGCACACGGCUUGUCAGGAUGUGAAGUUUUAGAUUUGCCUUUGGUAUUUGGAGAGCACUGUCUGAUGGUAUUGACCAGUGACCAUGACCUUAAGUUAAGAUGGAUUGAAAGAAAAAAGCAGGCAGAGCUGGCAUCACUCAACCUUUUAAAAAAGUGGUUCCAGGAUGACCCAGAAGUAACUUGAGUUACCACCAGAGAUUGCAAAUAAACAUUGAUCUGA